CAUGCAAGUCGAACGGAAACCUUCGGGUUUUAGUGGCGAACGGGUGAGUAACACGUAAGCAACCUACCCUUAAGACGAGGAUAACAAUUGGAAACGGUUGCUAAGACUGGAUAGGAAAAGUAAAGGCAUCUUUACUUUUUUAAAAGACCUUCUUUGAAGGUAUGCUUAAGGAGGGGCUUGCGACACAUUAGUUAGUUGGCAGGGUAAAGGCCUACCAAGACUAUGAUGUGUAGCUGGACUGAGAGGUUGAACAGCCACAUUGGGACUGAGACACGGCCCAAACUCCUACGGGAGGCAGCAGUAGGGAAUUUUCGGCAAUGGAGGAAACUCUGACCGAGCAACGCCGCGUGAACGAUGAAGUACCUCGGUAUGUAAAGUUCUUUUAUUAAGGAAGAAAAAAGAGUGGAAAAACUCCCUUGACGGUACUUAAUGAAUAAGCCCCGGCUAAUUAUGUGCCAGCAGCCGCGGUAAUACAUAAGGGGCGAGCGUUAUCCGGAAUUAUUGGGCGUAAAGGGUGCGUAGGCGGUUUAAUAAGUCUAUAGUUUAAUUUCAGUGCUUAACGCUGUUGUGCUAUAGAAACUGUUUUACUAGAGUGAGUUAGAGGCAAGCGGAAUUCCAUGUGUAGCGGUAAAAUGCGUAAAUAUAUGGAGGAACACCAGAGGCGUAGGCGGCUUGCUGGGACUUUACUGACGCUGAGGCACGAAAGCGUGGGGAGCAAACAGGAUUAGAUACCCUGGUAGUCCACGCUGUAAACGAUGAGUACUAAGUGUCGGGUAAAACCGGUACUGAAGUUAACACAUUAAGUACUCCGCCUGAGUAGUACGUACGCAAGUAUGAAACUUAAAGGAAUUGACGGGACUCCGCACAAGCGGUGGAUCAUGUUGUUUAAUUCGAAGAUACACGAAAAACCUUACCAGGUCUUGACAUUUUCUUGCGAAGUUAUAGAAAUAUAAUGGAGGUUAUCAGGAAAACAGGUGGUGCAUGGUUGUCGUCAGCUCGUGUCGUGAGAUGUUAGGUUAAGUCCUAAAACGAGCGCAACCCUUGUCGUUAAUUGCCAGCAUGUAAUGAUGGGGACUUUAACGAGACUGCCAAUGAAAAAUUGGAGGAAGGUGGGGAUUACGUCAAAUCAUCAUGCCCCUUAUGAUCUGGGCUACAAACGUGAUACAAUGGUUGAUACAAAGAGUAGCUGAAACGCGAGUUCUUAGCCAAUCUCACAAAAUCAAUUUCAGUUCGGAUUGAAGUCUGCAACUCGACUUCAUGAAGUUGGAAUCGCUAGUAAUCGCGAAUCAGCAUGUCGCGGUGAAUACGUUCUCGGGGUUUGUACACACCGCCCGUCAAACCACGAAAGUUGGCAAUACCCCAAAGCGGUCACCUAACUUCGCAAGAAGAAGGAUCCGUCUAAGGUAGGGUCGAUGAUUGGGGUUAAG
rnacentral:rRNA from 1 species